rnacentral:tRNA from 1 species
UCCCACAUGGUCUAGCGGUUAGGAUUCCUGGCUUUCACCCAGGCGGCCCGGGUUCGACUCCCGGUGUGGGAA